rnacentral:misc_RNA from 1 species
GAUGAAGAACGUAGCGAAAUGCGAUAAGUAGUGUGAAUUGCAGAAUUCCGUGAAUCAUCGAAUCUUUGAACGCACAUGGCGCCUUCCAGUAUCCUGGGAGGCAUGCCUGUCCGAGCGUCGUUUCAACCCUCGAGCCCCCGUGGCCCGGCGUUGGGGAUCUGCCACGGCAGGCCCCUAAAACCAGUGGCGGACCCGAAGGCCCUCUCCUUUGCGCAGUAGCAUCAGCCUCGCAUUGGGAUCCCUCGGCGUCCUGCCUCUAAACCCCCCACAAGUCCGCUCCGGCGGCACCAAGGUUGACCUCGGAUCAGGUAGGAAUACCCGCUGAACUUAAGCAUAUCAAUAAGCGGAGGA